UUGGGCUUGUCUACAUCAGAAAGUUGCAGCGCUGGUGAGGGAGUUACAGCGCUGCAACUUAGGAGGUGUACACAUCUGCAGGGCACCACCAGCGCUGCAACUCCCUGUUUGCAGCGCUGGCCGUACUCCCGUUUUGUCUCGGGUGUAGAGGAUCCAGCGCUGGUGAUCCAGCGCUGGUAAUCAAGUAUAGACACUUACCAGCGCUUUUCUUGACCUCCGUGGAAUAAGCAGGUAUCCCAGCAUACCUGAGGAAGCCUCUGGUAAUCAAGCUGGUCUCCUUCCCCGGCUUGCUCUCGCGUUCCCUGAACCCCGAGCAAGCAGGUCUCCUUCCCUGAGGUUUGCUGGGUGGUUCCGGGAACGCGAGAGCAAACCGCGGCGAAGCUGGUCUCCUUUCCCGGUUUGCUCUCUCGUUCCCCGAGCAAGCAGGUCUCCUUCCCUGCGGUUUGCAGGGUGGUUCGGGGAACGCGAGAGCAAACCGCGGCGAAGCUGGUCUCCUUUCCCGGUUUGCUCUCGCGUUCCCCGAACCCCCCUUGAAGCCGCCCAACAGCGCUGCAGUGUGGCCACAUCUAACACCACUUGCAGCGCUGGUUGCUGUAAGUGUGGCCACUCUGCAGCGCUGGCCCUAUACAGCUGUACUAAUACAGCUGUAACAACCAGCGCUGCAAAAUUUUAGAUGUAGACAUGGCC